AAUGUAUGACGCCAUUUGCUUUUUGAUGAAUGUUUGGCCGUUCGUCUUAUUUAAAACUUUAUGUAAUUAUCAUUUGUUUUAUUAUGACUUGAUUUAUCAUCAAAUGUUCUUUAAGCAUGACAUAAAUAUGUUUAUACUUGCAUAAAAAUUUUAAAUAAGACGAAUGGUCAAACGUUGAUUAAAAAGUUAACGAUGUCAUACAU
rnacentral:pre_miRNA from 1 species